CCCAGGGUUUUCCGGCCCGCUUUAUUUCCUCGCCCUCGGACCCUCCCCUGAAAAUCCUAUAGAUCCCUUUCUUCAGUCUCUGUGGCUCCCCGACGGGAUGUGGUGUCUCCUAUUACAAGAUCUAAUGAUCUCCCCCGAAUUCCAGCAUCUCCCCCUUCAUGUGCGGUCUGGCUUCAAGCCCUGUCACUCAGUCAGCUCUUGGGGCCUGAAUCCCUGGACCUUAUGUACCCCUCCCCUUUGUCCCUUAUUCAUGUCUCCCCAAGAGUAAGGUGGCUCACAGGGUCUUCGGAUGAGCAUUAAAUGCUUGGAGUGAGGAUAGACCUGAACCCAGAUCCAAGAUGGCUUGCGACCUCCUCCGCACCCAGUGCGCUCUUGCCUACACCGGCAGGGCUAAUAACCUAGAAGAGACAGAGCAGCUACAUCAGGACCUAGCUUCCUCAGCAGGGCUGCUUUGAAUUCUGACCCCAGACCCCCGCAGCCACCCCGAGGUUGUACCUUCCUCCUCCUCAACUCCCGAUCUCGCUUGAUUGGCUAUCGUGUGUAGCUCGACAGCAGGAAGAGCACCCUGAAUUCUCAGGGAAGAACUGCGCCCAAGGUUUCUAGGGGAGUCCCUCUAUUCCUGACUCAGACUCUGUGCAGACUGCGUCAGGUUCUGCGGCCCCCGGACAGAAGGCUGGGCAGAGGGAAGGACUACCACAGACAAAAUGUCAGCUGGCAUUUCCAUGAAUCUCUAGGUCCGCGGUUCUCAACCUUCCUAACGCUGCGACCCUUCAAUACAGUUCCGCAUGCUGUGGUGACCCCAACCAGAAAAUGAUUUCAUUACCACUUCAUUGCUGUAACUUUGCUACUGUUAUGACUCGUAAUGUAAAUAUCUGUGUUUUCCAAUGGUCUUAGGUAACCCCUGUGAGAGGGCCAUUCGACCCUCGACAGGGUCACGACCCACAGGUUGAGAACUUCCAGUCUAAGCCCAUCUGCUAGAGAUUCCACCGCUAACCGGACCUUACCCUUAGUUCCGGGUUUUAUGUCCCCUAAGUUCUUACUUUCCCUUCCCCAAGAUGGGAGCCAACUCCACCAGAGCGCUGCCAUAGGGGGUGGGGCGCCCACGUGCUGUUGCCUCCUCUCUCCUCUUCCCUAAGAUGUAGAGUACGGGGCCUCCCUGGUUGACAGAAAAGACUAGGAGCCUGUGCUAUAUAUAUGGGGAUGCUUGUAAUUCCCCAGCCCCCUGCCGCAGCACCAGGGAUCAGGUUUGAGUUCAGCAUCAGGGCAAGAGGUUCCUGGCAUCAAGAAUGGCAAAAGAACCAGAAGGCUGGUCUCCGGGAGUGGGGGGAGCGCCGGGGGGCACUGAAAUAAGGAAGGGGACACUGGGAAGAAUGCGUUGGAGCAGGGCUGUCCCUGGCUCUGGCUUGAGGUCAGAAAGGGCUCUCUGGGCAGCAGACAGCAUGCCUGGCCCUCCCACACCUUCCUCCUUUCUCAGAAGAGCCUGCAUGGGUGGGCGGGGCUCCAGGGCAGGGUGAGGGCCUACUUAAGGAGCCACACAGUUGGUUAUUCCAGAUCCAGCCCCAGGGAUGCCAGAGAAGAGGCUCUGUGGGUAAGUGCUGCUCCUUUCACUGGGUUCAGCGGGGCGGUGGGAGGGUGACUCCUGAGUCUGCUGGUUUGACUUUCCUCUCCAGGGACGUGAGGAUAGCACCCAGCUGUCACUUAACUCUCCAGAAACUGGAAGUGCAUUUCAGGGAAGCCUUCCUCCUCCACUCAGCUAUCCCAAACACUCAAGACCUUCAUUCAAGUGGGCGAUUUUCCGGAGCUAAUCGUCCUGCGUGGCUGUCUUGGAGAUCCCCCUUAGCUGAGGAAGCUGCUUUAACUACAGACACAUGCCCUUGUCAGAUGCAAAUUUUGGCUUUUCCCCCUGACUCUCACCCCCCUCGCCCCUAUACCCACCCACCAAGGACACAUCUGGGCCCCCCUAUACCCACCCACCAAGGACACAUCUGGGCUCCCCUAUACCCACCCACCAAGGACACAUCUGGGCCGGCCGGUGAUAAAAGGGCCCACGGCAAUAUCCAGUCCCUGCCAUACUCUGAGCCGCUCCCCUCACGCUUGACUCCAGUUCUUGUCCAUUUCUCUAGCUGUGGGAUCCUAUUUUCAGCUCCAAGCUCAGCACCCCACCACUGAGGGGGUAGGAAGUAUUCUGAGAUCCCAGGCUACAUCCUGGAUCUCAAUUUGUCCAUGUUGGGAUUGGGGGAACAUUUACAGAAGAGGACCAAUGAGAUAGCUCCAGGUACUUACCUCAAAACCUGGUGCCCCUGAAACCCACAGGGCGGAAAACCCACCCAACCUCACAUGCCCUGUGUGUGCAGACACACCACACACACACACACACACACACACACACACACACACACACACACACACACACACAAUGUUAAAAACAAUUCCCAGAAGAGAGCUUUGGAGGGCAGCAUCCAGGCUGAGAGAACAUUGGCCACCUGGCUCUGAGAACUGAAUUCCAUAGGCUGUGAGCUCUAGCAAAUGCCCUAGGGACUCAGUUCUGGUGCCCGGCUGUGCUAUUCCAUCAAUACCAAAGCUAUGUAGGAAACCAGAGGGUUCUCACAGCUGCCCCACAGGUGCCCCUAGAGGCUCCUUGACGGAACCCUUUAAUCACACUGACUUGGGGUACUCUUCUGCUGAAAGGCUUCAGGAGCUUCCCAACUGAAUCACCCCCCCCCCACCCCUAUCUUUCUCUCUGAGACAGGAUACCUAUAGCUCAGGAUAGCUGUAUAGCCCAGGAUAACCUUGAACUACUGACCUUCCUGCCUCUACCUCCCGAGUGUUUACAGACAUGCUCCGUUCUAUCUGGCCUGUAUCUGUUUGCUGUCAGUGUUCCAGAAGGACUUCCAAUUAGCUUUCAGGGCUGAUCUUCCACGGCUCUCUCGUGGAUGAGGACCUGCUGCUUCCUGCAGCUUCACUCCUGCAGUCUCCUCGGGUUACCUCUUCCCCAUCUCUGUCUAGCAGAGUCCUGUUUGUCCUUUGGAGCCUCUUUGAACUUCCCAACAGUGCACAGAUUCCCCAUGCUCCUUCCUUCCCGGCGGGGGCAGAUUCAUAAGCCCCUUCCCCUGGUAGUGUCUACCCAGUGUUCUCCACAUGAUAGUUCCCCCAAUAAACAUGCCUCGCAGUGUU